rnacentral:rRNA from 1 species
AACGUAGGAGACGAACGUUAUCCGGAGUUACUGGGCGUAAAGCGUGCGCAGGCGGUUUUGUAAGUCUGUCGUGAAAUCCCCGGGCUCAACCUGGGAAUUGCGAUGGAGACUGCAAGGCUAGAAUCUGGCAGAGGGGGGUAGAAUUCCACGUGUGAGCAGUGAAAUGCGUAGAGAUGUGGAGGAACACCGAUGGCGAAGGCAGCCCCCUGGGUCAAGAUUGACGCUCAUGCACGAAAGCGUGGGGAGCAAACAGG